rnacentral:rRNA from 1 species
UACGAGGGGUGCAAGCGUUGCUCGGAAUUAUUGGGCGUAAAGGGUAGGUAGGUGGUCUGAUUUGUCUUCAGGUGAAAGCCUUGGGCUUAACCCAAGAAGUGCCUAAGAAACGGUCAGACUCGAGUCUUGGAGAGGUGAGUGGAAUUCCCGGUGUAGCGGUGAAAUGCGUAGAGAUCGGGAGGAACACCAGAGGCGAAGGCGGCUCACUGGACAAGUACUGACACUCAACUACGAAAGCGUGGGGAGCAAACAGG